rnacentral:lncRNA from 1 species
CUGUCAUUCUAUAAGCUACUAAACCUUAUCCCUCUCUAAUGCGUGACAAACGCUCUCUCCAUCCCUCCCUCCCUCCAUUGUUUGUCCAUUCCAUCCUUCCCUCUGUCUCCUUGAACCGUUUCCAGCCAAUGUGUUCUGACUGGUGCUCAUUAGGGCUGGGAUGAUACCAGUAUUGGGAUACACGUUAGUAUCAUGGCAAGGAAACAAAACACAAAGCUGAUGUAACUUCUUUAGGAAAACAUCCCUAAUGUUGGAAACAAACAUCGUUAUAUUGUCAUCCAGAAUCACAUGUAUUUAUUUUCCAAGCUAUAGCAGACAACAAUUCACAUACAGCAGGUUUUUAAAGGCUCCAAGUCUCUGGUCUUUUUCAUGUUACAUUUUUUUGCCAUCCCAAAAAUAUACCCUCUCCCUCUCUCUCUCUGUCUCUCUCUCUGUCUCUCUGUCUCUCCCUCUCUCCCUCUCUCUCUCUGUCUCUCUCUCUCUCUGUCUCUCUGUCUCUCUCUCUGUCUCUCCCUCUCUCUGUCUCUCUGUCUCUCCCUCUCUCUGUCUCUCCCUCUCUCUCUGUCUCUCCCUCUCUCUGUCUCUCCCUCUCUCUGUCUCUCUGUCUCUCCCUCUCUCUGUCUCUCUGUCUCUCCCUCUCUCUGUCUCUCUCUGUCUCUCUCUCCCUCUCUCUUUCUAUGUCUCUCUCUCUCUCUCUCUCACUCUCUCCCUCUCUCUAUCUCUCUCUCUGUCUCUCCCUCUCUCUGUCUCUCUCUCUGUCUCUCUCUCCCUCUCUCUUUCUAUGUCUCUCUCUCUCUCUCUCACUCUCUCCCUCUGUCUCUCUGUCACUCUCUUUGUCUCUCUCUCCCUCUCUGUCUCUCCCUCUCUCUGUCUCUCUCUCUGUCUCUCUCUCCCGCUCUCUUUCUAUGUCUCUCUCUCUCUCUCUCUCUCCCUCUCUCUAUGUCUCUCUGUCUCUCUCUCUCUCUCUCCCUCUCUCUCUCUCUAUGUCUCUCUCCCUCUCUCUCUCUCUGGUAG